GACGAACGCUGGCGGCGUGCCUAACACAUGCAAGUCGAGCGGAGACAUUGGCUUCGGUUAAUGUUUUAGCGGCGGACGGGUGAGUAACGCGUGAGCAACCUUUCUCUUACUGGGGAAUAACACAGGGAAACUUGUACUAAUACCGCAUGAGACCACAGAGGGGCAUCCUUCAGAGGUCAAAGAUUUAUCGGUAAGAGGUGGGCUCGCGUCUGAUUAGAUAGUUGGUGGGGUAACGGCCUACCAAGUCGACGAUCAGUAGCCGACCUGAGAGGGUGAUCGGCCACAUUGGGACUGAGACACGGCCCAA
rnacentral:rRNA from 1 species